UUUUUUUGCAUGCCUAACCGUUCAUUCACUGUGUGUGUGCUGCUAUGCGUCCUCAUACAUGAGCUAUGUCAACAACAACAAUCUACUGAUAAGAGAACAUGAAAAUGUACAAGUUGUAGGAGACGAACAUGGUUUUAACUUAUCUCAGUACGUAUUUUUCUGAAAUGUUCCCUGUGAUUAAGUUGUGAACAAAUGAACAUGCCACAUGUCAACAAACUGAGCAAACGUGGAUUGUUAGUGACUUAGUGGUGGAGGGAGGGCUAGAGAAAGGCCAGCUGUGUUGGUCCGCCAAUCUCCUGUGUCCCACUUUGGUUACCAAAAUACAACCACUGGUAGGGAAGGCUCAUCUAGAACCAGAGUGAGGAAUAAGGAUUGAGAAUAAAACUCAGCAAGGAUGAUGAAUGAGUUUCAGCUCAUUGCUGGGAUUAGCUGAAGAAUGAAUAGGAAACAGUGGAUGAAGGAACAAGCUAUUCCAGGGACCUUUUGAAGCCCUUGGACCUCACGUCUCUUAUAGCUAAGGAAGGAUAAAAUGGAUGUAGGCCAGUGCUAAUCAUUUGAGAAAUUUUGCUAAAGGAAGAUUUUGAUUCAGUCGAUAUGAAGUGGACCUGAAAUUCUGCAUUUCUGUAAGCUCUCAGGCUGCUGCCCCAUGGAUCACAUUUUGAGUAGCAAUGAUCUACACCAGAGCUAUCCAAUAGAAUUUCUGCAGUGAUGGAAAUUUUCUACAUCUGUACUGUCCACUGUGGUUACUGAACACUUGAAAUGUAGUUGGUGCAACUGAGAAAUGGAAUUUCUAAUUAAGUUAAUUUUUUUAAAGAGUAGGGGUCUUGCUCUGCUGCCCAGGCUGGAGGGCAGUAGCAUGACCAUGGCUCACUGCAGCCUUGAACUCCUGGGCUCAAGCAAUCCUCCCACCUCAGCCUUCAGAGUAGCUGGGACUACAGGCACAUGCCACCAUGCCUAGCUAGUUAAAAAAAAUAUUUUUUUCAGAGACAGGGUCUCACUAUGUUGCCCAGUCUGGUCUCAAACUCCUGGCCUCAAGCCAUCCUCCCGCCUCAGCCUCCCGAGUCACUGGGAUUACAGGCGUGUGCCACUGUGCCUGGCUUAAUGAAAUUCCAUUUAAAUUUAGAUAGCCACAUGUAGCUAAAAUAUCAUAUAGGAUAGAUCUAGAUAUUCAUGGGUCAUUUCUUGUCAGUAAGAACAAUAUACAUCACAGCCCCAAAUGAUCUAAUCCAUCAAUUCAUUUAGAUUAUCUAGCAAGUAUCCUUUUAUAUAAUGCCAGCUGUAAAAUUAGUGUCUUUAAAUUGUUGUCUUCCUAACACUUAAAUGACCCACCAUGUAUGCUUAAGCGAGAAAUGAAAGGGGUCAUUUUGUAGUGGAUUAAUUGAUGCGGAAAGGAAAGCAGAAAGCAGUGAGAAUUUCAGCAACCAUGACUGCACUGGGCAUUGCGAAAAUGAAGAGCCAGAAUGUAGGAAAGAAACUCAGAAAGGGAGGUGAAGAGACCCUAAAGAGAAAUACUGCAUACUCAGGAAUUUUAUUUAGGUCUGAUUCUGUCCCUUUACCUCCUUUAAAAGCAAGUUCUUCCUCAGGAAAUGGAACUGAAAGAAAAUAUAUUCUGGCUGACGCUCUCCC
ensembl:lncRNA